UUUUUUCUCUUUGCUUAUUCUCAAUUUAUAUUUUUGUAUUUGAAAAUUUCUUCUUCCUUUUUCUUGGCAAGAGGUUUAAAUAAAUAUUUGUAUGGACUAUAAUGGAUGUGAAAGAACAGUCAACAAUGUCACUAAGAAUGUCAAAGGGUUUGUACAAUUGUUAUUCUUCUUUAAAAUAGAAGCUUUCUUCUUCAAUCAGUCCAGCGGCCUUCUAAAUUAUUUUUCUGUAUUUUCUUUGUAGUUUCCAAGAUUGUUCAAAUACAGCUUCAAGUAAUUUGGCCUUUUUCCCAUCCUCUAUUUAAUAGAGUCUUUACACACUCACUUUAUUUAAGUUUGAAUGUCCAAAAGUUGAUUGAUUCUGAUAUCUUAUCACUUUAUCUUCAUGUUCAAGUACAGUCAAUAUUUAUGAAAACUAAAUUGCUAAGAUUUUUUUUAAUUCCAAGGUCUUAAACUGACUAUGUUAAAAUGCAGUGAUUGAAACUUAGAAUGGGUCACACUCUGUUUACUCGCAAAGGUAAAGCAGAAUGCUGCGAUUUGCACCUCACAGAACAAUGCAGAGUUUUUUUCAUUCUACUCGAUUUCAGCUUAUAGUUUGAGGACGAGGAUAGUUAACCAUUAAUUGUAAUUUUUUUGGAUGAUGAAGAAAGUACAAAGCGAGGAGAUGCAAAGCAAUGUGAUUAGUGAAGGAUCAGGUAAUUUAGUGCCCACUAUUCCUCGGGAAAACAUGUUUAAGGGCUAUUGCCCAACCUGUUUAAAAUUUUAUUUAUUUCGGGAAAGUUCUCUUUAUGAUAAGAUGUCUAUACAAUAGGAGUCAAAAAUCUUAUUAAAUUCGUCAACCUUUUUAACAUUAUUGAUUAAGGUGGUAAUUUCGUACAACAACCUUUCUUACAUGAAAGUAAAAGAUGACCAUCUAUUAUAGUUUGACUGGAAAUUUGUGAUUAUAUUUGAUGUAUAGGAAAAAGAAUUGUGUGUUGGUAGCCCAUACUUUAAUUUACAAGGUAUUUAAACUUCACAAAUUAUUAUGCACCACUUUGCCACAUGAAUUCAAAACUUCAAUUAUGACUUUCUUCCCAGUUGAUUGCAUAUGGACAAUGUUCAGCAAUAAGUUAUGUCAGUCAUACAUUUGCGUGCUUUCAUGUAUGAUACUAUAGAUACUAAUCCCAAUCUUUAAUGGGAAAACAAAGUGAACAAACAAGCAGUAUACUUCACACCUCAUUUGAUUCAAAUGUUUAUCAAAGAGCUGACUGUAUUCUUUUUCUAUUAAUUGAUUGCAGAUCUUAAUAUUUUUAGCCUUUUCGUAAUUGCAUAAAACUAGAUAGUGACAUAAGAAACAAGGACACACAUUUCUUUUUUAGGCGAGUUUCUGUUGUUAUACACGAUCUUCCUUACUUUAAUAUUUGAAUUAUAGUUGGAUAUGCAAAGAUCGACUUAUCACUCACUCUUUGGUUAGUUUUGUUCAUUUUCUUACUAGAAAGCAUCUCCUGUGCCCUUCCUUUGGCAUUGGUGUAUGGUCUAAACUAUCUGUCCUUAACCUAAUUCAUCGACUGUUUUCACUAGCAAUAUAAGAUUUUACACAGUACAUCUUGCAGUUGUCUUCAAUGUUCUGUUGUUUUUCUCCUUGAACUUAUGCCGUUCAUGUUCGCUGACUUCUUUGAAUGAAAAUCCUGAAUUGCUCAUGAAAACAGGAAAUCAAAGGUCAAUCAUUUGAAGAGCAGGGACAGUAAGGAGAAGAAUAGUUCUUAGCAUUUUGCACCCUAAGGGUGGUUUGCUUAAGGUUUCUGUUGUGUGACAUAAGAAACAAGGAUGCACAUUUCUUUUUCAGGCAAGUAUCUGUUGUUCUAUACGAUCUUCCUAAUUACUUCAAUAUUUGAAUUUUCUAAAUAUCUUUUAGCCUUCCGACCUUUCUGCAUUUUGGAUGGUAAACUAAAAGCUACUCCCUCCGUUUCAAUUUAUGUGAACCUAAACAAGUCAAAAAGAAGUACAGGGUAUUUGUGUGGUUAUAAAAGGUUCUCAUUAAGGGUAGAAUUGGAAGUUUAAGUUAAAUUAUUUUCAAAUUUGGAAAGGGAUCAUUCUUUUUGGAACGGACCAAAAAGGAAAUAGGUUCACAUAAAUUGGAACGGAGGGAGUACAUCUUUAUGUACACUUUACAGUAUUUAUACUAUUUUCAUUAAUUUAGAAAGGAUGAAAGAGAAAGAAUUGAAAAAAUAGAAAAUAUGUUUCUGUUUAUCUUGCUAAAAAAGAAUUCCUGAAUCCAUUGAGACCUUAAAGAUAAUCACUUUCAUAAAGAGAGCUUGCAACUAUCUUACAUAUGUAUAAUUUUGUUGCCACCCUCGAUCUUCUCUAGAGAAGAAAAAAGAAGGGGAACUGCAUGUUGAAAAAUAAUACUCUGCUAAGCCAAAGUAAUAGUGAAAAUUCAUUUUAGAAAAUUGUUCAUUGCAUUGCAAAUUUCAUGUUUUCUCAUAGUCGCAAACGCCUUUUUUUUUGUCCUCCAUGUCUUUGUUACAUUCAGGGAUUUGAACCGAUGUGAAGAAUAUGAAUUCCUAAAGAUAAGGGGGAUGGAUACAUGGUGCCUUUCUAGUUUGAGAAUUUCACUGAAAGAUCUGAACUUCUCAGAUUAAAAAAAAAUUACAGUGUACCAAUCCUUGACUCUUUUCAUAUAUUUAAGCUUUAAUAGACAUAGCUAACUUAUAUAUGCAAUAACGAAAGGAUAGGUUGUCAUAGUUGCGCUGCUAAACACUUCUCUAUGGAGUUGCUGCCUAAGUGCUAAUUCAUGUGUUCCAAACGAAAAGAAGGAUAUGCCUUUUCAGAAAGAAAGUGCAACGACCCGGCCGGUCGUUUUAAGAAUUAGAGCCCCGAUCCCCUAAUAUCUGCUUUUCUCAUAUUUGUUUCUACUUUUGAGACUUGCUAGAGUGAUUGGUUAUGGAAUUCAGAGAGUUUUGGGACACUUAGUCCCUAGUAGUGAGUUUAAGCCUUGGAGUUUGGACAGUAGUUGGAACUGUAUGAAGACGGAUCCGGAAUGGAAUCUCCUCGACUCUGUUAGCUCCGUUGAGUAAUUUUGGGGUUAGGAGCGCAUCCAGAAUGUGUUUUGGAGGUCUGUAGUAGAUUUAGACUUGAAUUGGCGAAAGUUAGUUUUUUGGCGAUUUCGGCCGAUAAUGGAAAUUUUGAUAUCGAGCUCGGAAUGGAAUUCCAAAAGUGGCUGUACGUUCGUAAUGUCAUUUGUGAUCUGUGUGUAAAAUUUGAGGUCAUUCGGACUAGAUUUGAUGUGGUUCGGCAUCGUUUGUAGAAUUUGAAAAAUUUUAAAUUCUUAGGCUUGAAUCUGUGCUUAAUUCAGAAUUUUGGUGUUGUUCGAUAUGGUUUGAAGAUUCGACUAAGUUCGUAUGAUGUUUUAGGAUUGGUUGGUAUGUUUGGUUGAGGUACCGGGGGCCUCGGGUGUGUUUCAGAUGCUUAACGGGAAGAAAUUUGGACUUAGAAAAAUCUGGCGCAUUGCUGGUUCUGGUGUUUCGCACCUGCGGAGGGGAGUCCGCAGGUGCGGACUCGCAGGUACGCUUGGGCGUUCGCAGAUGCGGAAAUGGACAUGGCAUGCUGGGCUCGCAGGUGCGGCUGGUCGUCCGCAGAAGCGGAGUCGCAUAUGCGGCCCAGGGGUCGCAGAUGCAGACCCAGCCAAAUAAGUGACUUCCGCACCUGCGUUGAUUUUUUCGUAGAUGCGGGACCGCAGAUGCGUAAAUGCGGAAAUCGCUGGGCAGAAAAGGGAAUUUCGAGGGUAUGAAAUUUCAUAACACAAAAAUUGAUUUGGAGCUCGGUGGGAGACGAUUUCUCGAGGGUUUUUGAGGAGAACUAUUGGAUAACGAAUUCUAACUCUAUUUUGAUCAUAAUACAAUAAUCUAUUAUUAUUUUCCUAGUCUAAUUAAGGAAUUUGAGGGUAAAAGUUUUGAAAUGGGGGAAAAGGUUCCCCAAUUGAAAAUCUGAGAUUUGAAUGGGAAUUUGACGUCGGAUUUAGAUAAUUUUUUGUUCGAGUGAACUCGUGAGUGAAUGGGUGUUCAUAAUUUAUAAUUUUUACCUGAUUUCGAGAUGUGGGUCCGGGGGGAUAUUUUGGGCGUUUUUCCUAAUUUCACGCUUUAGCUUCGAAUUAAUUAGUUAAAUUAGUUACUUGUAGUUAUAUUUACAUUAUGCAAUUAAUUUGAAUAGAUUCGGGCCAUUUGGAGUCGGAUACUCGUGGCAAGAACGUGAUAUCGAGUUGAUUUGAGUGAUUCGAGGUAAGUGGCUUGCCUAACCUUGUGUUGGGGACUUUCCCCUUAGGAUAUCUUGAUAUUAUUUGGUGUGUGAGCACUGUGUAUGUGAGGUGACGAGUACGUACAGGGGCUGUUAUUGCAAAAAUCCUAUUUAUCCUUUUUAAAUUAUAAAUUUCUUCUCUUAUUAAAUUGUACUAAUAUGGUUAAUUAUUUAGUUUAGACNNNNNNNNNNNNNNNNNNNNNNNNNAUACCUGCCAUUUCAUCUUGCGUUGCAUAUUUAAAUUGGGACUACGGACGUAUUCGGAGAUCCCCUGUCUUGCAUAUUUAUUUUGGGACUACAGACGUAUUCCGGGAGAUCCCCUAGCACUGUAUAUUUACUUUGGGACUACGGACGUAUUCUGGGAGAUUCUCCAGCACUAUAUAUUUACUUUGGGACUACAGACGUAUUCCGGGAGAUCCUCCGGUACUGCAUAUUUAUUCGGAACUACGGGACGGUAUCCCAGGGGGACUUCCCACUGUGUCUACCUUGUUUUGAGCCGAGGGCUCUCUUAACUGUUAAAUUUUUGAGAAUCUCUUUAACUGUGUCACCAUAAAUUUCACUUAUAUCUUUUACUGUUUAAUUUAUUAUAUUUACUCCGGUAGGGCCUUGACCUGACCUCGUCACUACUCGACCGAGGUUAGGCUUGGCACUUACUGGGUACCAUUAUGGUAUACUCAUGCCCUUCCCUACACAUAUUUUUGUGUGCAGAUCUAGGUGCGCGCUAUCAGCCUCAGAGUUAGUACGUGCUGCUAUUUUUAGGAGAUUUCAAGGUUCUACUGCUUGCGUCCGCAGAUCUUCGGAGUCCCCUUCUACUCCCUCGCCUAAAGACUUUCUUUAUUAUCUUCAGACUUUUGUAUAGAGCUACAUAGAUUAUAGCAGCUU
rnacentral:lncRNA from 1 species